CCUACGGGAGGCUGCAGUGGGGAAUAUUGGACAAUGGGCGCAAGCCUGAUCCAGCCAUGCCGCGUGAGUGAUGAAGGCCUUAGGGUUGUAAAGCUCUUUUAGCAGGGAAGCGGUACCUGCAGAAAAAGCCCCGGCUAACUUCGUGCCAGCAGCCGCGGUAAUACGAAGGGGGCUAGCGUUGCUCGGAAUUACUGGGCGUAAAGCGCACGUAGGCGGCUUUCUAAGUCAGGGGUGAAAUCCUGGAGCUCAACUCCAGAACUGCCUUUGAUACUGGGAGGCUCGAGUCCGGGAGAGGUGAGUGGAACUGCGAGUGUAGAGGUGAAAUUCGUAGAUAUUCGCAAGAACACCAGUGGCGAAGGCGGCUCACUGGCCCGGACUGACGCUGAGGUGCGAAAGCGUGGGGAGCAAACAGGAUUAGAUACCCUUGUAGUC
rnacentral:rRNA from 1 species